UUAUGGAAAACCUGGGCCCAGUUCUGUCUUGCCAAAUGGAUGCUCACUUUCCAAAAUGGAGGAUGUCAUCAUGUACAGUCUCAGUGGUGAUGCAGUUAUAACACGUAUAUCCCAGAAAACCUUGUACGGAGUGCGAGAAGAGAACUCCUGAGCAAGAAGUCCAAGGUAAUCAAGUCAACUUCAGAGUGGGGAAAACAGCUGAAAGAGGUAGACUGUGAAGAAUUCUAUCACUGGCCAAAAUUCUGAGGGACCCAUCAAAAGAGGCAGUUUCUUCAUCCUUAGUGUUAUAUCAAU